rnacentral:sRNA from 1 species
AUUUUUCGCGAUAAAGUGUAAGUUGGGUCUAAAACAUGAGAGAGAGCCUUCAUAGAUAUACGCAGCGAGCAGCGAAAGGGGAGAAAAAAUACCACACAUAAAAUUCAGAAUAAUUAUCGGACUGGGCGCCUGCGCAAUGGACGCACCAAAACUAUCAAGGAUAGACAUACAAUCCCUGGAAAGAAAAAGAGAUAGGGACAAUAUAAGCAGAGGGUAUAUAGCAUGAAGUGGGCGAUUAUGAUGAUACAACCCACCGGAACGCAAGGGAGGUAUCCCGGAUAGAUGUGGGAGAAGAAAAGGAGAAAAAAAAAGAGGGUGAUGGCAGUGGAGGAAGAAAUCAGUUUGGUAUCAAAGAAAGAUAAAAGGUCAAAAAAUAUCAGAAGGAACACAUUACGCAUACGAAUUGACAUACUGCGACUGAACACUCUUUGCGAAGCUUCACUUUAUUAAUCACAAAUGGGGGAUGGAGGAGGGAUGAGGGGCCACUUUAUCAUUCACUGUCUUCAUAUAUCCUGUUGAAUAUUUCUCACCAUCCAGAAUGGUCGCUCAGCAGUUUCAAAAAACAAUAACUGGAAGAGGAAACGGCCACAAAUGCAAGGACAAAAAAACAUAAAACGGCAUUAUGUAUGAAGGAGUGAAGGGGAGGAGGGGAGGAGAGCAGCAUGGAAUCAGGAUCAUGAAAAUAUGGGGGUAUUAUUAGCAGGGAGAGCCUGCAACUUUUUGAAUGGGAGAAAUGGUAAGUAAAAUCGCUAAAAUCGAAGAUGAUAAAAAUGGAGACGCCACGUAAGUAGAAAUUUGGAGAAGAGGAAUGAAAUUGAGAGAGAAAAAUAGUUUCUUCCUCUUUUCUUUUUUUCUGCUCCUCUCAAGCCGGGAACCGGUACGUGCUGGCUGGACGUGGAAUGGCGAGUGCGGACUUUUUUGUAGCCCAUGCCUUGAUAGAAAUACACAGGAUUUCCCAUGCCAUCACGAAUGAUGCAAAUCCCAUGGCGACAGUGAACACGAACAUCGCAUUGAGAUCGUAAUGAUCCAUUGCAUCAACGAUGUUCCUUGUACUUAGCAUGAAAAUGAGGCCUCCAGAAAUGAGACAGAAGGAGGCAAUUAGUUCCGAAGGUGGUCGAUAGGGCAGCAGCGAUGUCGGCGGCCUUAGGCAGAGGAGGAUGUAGGUUACAGCUCUAGCAAGAGAAAAUCCCACUAGCAGCAUUCCCCACUGUUUGUGCACCAUGGUGGAUACCAUACUCGACUGGUGGUGCGAGCUCAUCAUCAGACCAAGAAGCAGGAUGAUCAGGCCAGGAAUGGGGUUGAGAGGCACUCGUUGCGACUUUGGCACUUCAACAACUUCCGACGGCAAACCUUCCGAAUGGCCAGUCGGAGCAAAAAUGGCAUUAUUCAUCCCGUCUUGAACACGCUUCGAUUCAACCAGCAUCCCGCACAAACCGCCACCGAAGAACAUGACAGAAAUGGACACAUGUUCCAAAUCCUGCGCAGUCCACGCUUCGCCCCAUGCUGCGAGAUGCUCGAGAAAAACGUUGCUGGCGCCGUAUAAGAAGAUGACGAAGGAUUCUGUAAAUUCCCCUGAGGGUACGCGGGCCCGCCAUCUCCCCACCAUAUCACGUGAUGGUUUAAUAUUCCAAGCCCAGCCAAGGUCCGCGAAGCAUCCCAUCCAUCGGCCAAGCGUGAGCAAUCCAUACCAGAAGAAGAUGCCUCCCUUGAUGAAAUGUGCGAGGCCAUUGAAAAUAUCAUUGCCCCGGAAAAUACCACCAUAAACCACAGCUCCAGUAGCUAUCGCAAUGAAGCCGAGAAUCAGAAUGGUUCUCUCGAUGGCAACAUAGAAAACAUUCAUGAUGUCGAGCGCGCGCCUAGAAAGCAGUCCGGGGACACGUCUCGAGAGGAACUUAUCCACAAAACCACUCCAGAAGACUCGGCUGGUGCCCGCGGGCAAUUCGCCAUUAUUGUUAAUUUCGUCGUCUGGCUUUUCCUCAAACUCGUCACUGUCGCCUGGUCGGGACAGUCGUCGUCCACGUUCUGGGGAGCAGCUGUGGCUUCGCAGGGAGGAGGUAUUCCUUUCACUGCCCUGGCCGCUGUCGCCCGACCAGCGGUACUGAUGGUAAGGCGCCGCGGGAUAUGAUUCGUGUUGCGGAUGAUCCGUGGUCGGAACGGGGAGAAAGGCAACUCGCUCGUGGGGAGGGCCAGCGAGUGUGUCGGCGUCCCGACGGCCACCCGAAUACGCAAACAAAAGGCCCAUGACGACCUCCGCAACCAUAACCCAAGUCACAAUCCAGCCGAUCUUGUGAUGGACGUUGUUCUCGUACAGGUUGGGGACUUGGUUGUUAUACACCGCUGCUAGCAGAAGCCCGAAGGCGUUUACGAUGAGGAAUGAGAAUUGCGUAGGCAGGGCGAGUCGCGAUCGAGCGACGCUUAACAUGACACCAAUUGGCAGAAUGAAGAACCAGGCAAUAACCAUCAGGACAAUAUGGGCUACGAUGGAGCCCGCAUGUUCCUGAUACGCGAAGUAGCUCAUGGGGCUCGAGCCGUCGGACGGUGUGGGGCCAUUAUUGUUACUGCUAUGUUCGCCAGCGCUGUCCGAUCCACCACCACCACCACCAUCCAUAUACAUCUUCGUACGAUGUCCGGCAUCGUCGCCAUGCGCGAGUACAGCGACCGCCAGAAAUAGGAGGUAGCAGAGAGCUCUAUUGGGAGCUACGAAGGGUGUGGCGGUCCGCAGCAUGGCCGCCACCGGGUGCCGAAAGAAAGAGGAUAAAUAUUUUUUUAUCAAAGAGGAUAAAUAUUUUUUUAUCACAACAACAGGUAGGUUAGACGGAUAUAGCAAUAUUUGGAGCGAUGGUAUAAAGGAUGAGGUAGCGUGGCGAGCCCGAUGGAAGAACUCUCGGGUGAAGUUGGAGCUUUGGGAAGCUUUUAUUUUUGGCAGGGAGGGGAGGGUUGAGGAUAAGUUCAAAAAAUAGAAUGUAGAUGCGCAGCAAUCAGGUUCCAGAGAGCAGUGAAUCCCUGGGACGAAGCAGAGGCAGAGAAGGGGGCCAAACAAAAAGGAAGAAACAGAAACCAAAAUCGGGAGCCGGAAGCCGGGAGCUGAUAGGAUUCUUUAUUUUUAUUUUCAUGUACUUAUUUUAUUUUUAUUAUUUCGCCAUUCCCGUUUUCCCUUUUGUCUCCGGCGUGCGCUCUUCCGUUCUCUCCGCUUCUCUCUCCAAGCUCUGCUGUGCUGGAGAACAGGGCGGAUUAAUAAUGUGUCCCAGCGUCCUGAUGAUGCUAUGCAGGAUUAGCGUUUCUCGCCUGGUGGGUCCGGCAAACAGCUUGCUGGAUAGCGCGGGCCCAGGCUUUGGGCGGUGACCACGGAGCAACCCUUGAAUUGUAGUGUAGUUUGUGUUUUUGAUAUUUGAAAGGAUAUUGCGGGAGGGCAGAUCUGUGAUGCCGAUGUCAGUUUCUUGAAUUCACCGGGGGGAGGAUUUCUUUUCUUUUCUUUGAGGAUGUGAUAAUUCCAGAAGAUGGCAAAGCUUGGAGGAUUUAGUUCCCCAUUUUCCGAUGCUGCGCAGCGAGCUGUACAGUACAAGCGAGCUUAGCUACACAGUGUAAGCGUGGUGAGGGAGAGAUGUUAGGCAGGACGCAGUAUAACAAAAAACGGAGGUAAGUGACGUAUCGGCUGCCGGAAACAGGCUGGUCACGAUGACGAUGGAAAUACGAACAACGCUCGCUUCGAUCUCCAAAUUCUGCAGCACCGUUCCUCAGAAGUCGAGCUUGCCAUGCCAUGCUGUGCUGUGCUGUGCUGUGCUGCGGUGUGCUCCGCUGUGCUGUCCGGUAACAAGUUCCAGCACAUCUAGUAGAGUCGAGGGUGCUAGCUAGUUACAUGCUUUUAAACUCCCGAGAGCCAUUGUGGAGCACACAACACAUGGGCUUGACAGGUCAUCGAUGGAAGCGGAUACGCCUGGGCAGUAAUUCGCCCAGCGAUUUUAUUGAUUUGCUCACAAGAGUCACAACCCAGCUUCAUGAUAGGUGUUGUAUAACUAACUACAAUGCGAAGAUGGCUGGGCAUGAGGUGACGGCAUGGGCGGAACAACAGAGGAAAAACAAACCACAUCCAUUGCGGGACUAAUCCGUAACUAGUCGCUAGUUGCAGAGAGGGAUCGUCCUGUGCUGGCAAGGGUGAGGGUGAUGUGAUGGGAUUAUUCCAUUCUACAUACUGCUUACGGAGUACUCCGUACACACGAGUUCCUCAACGAGGGUGAACAGGCGCAGAAAAGACGAGCAAGAUCGAAGGGAGACGCGGUACGGAGUACACGAUGAGAUCCAUAUAACUCCUGUGUCAUGGGAUGGGCCAUUUCUGCCUGGGCAGAGAAACGGCGCUGAGGUCAGGAAUGGGCACCAUUCAUCGACUGGCAAGGGUAAGGACAAGGACACAGAUCCGCCGUGUUCCGUCUUCGCAUUGGUCAUCUCCUCCUGCGAGUCCUGGCGAGUAUCCCAUCUUAUCUAUCCGGUCCUUCCGCCCAGCAAUGGCAGAGAGCACAACAACAAGGGAUUGCAACAGGCUCCCCAGCUUACAGCUUUGAGCGUUUGCCUGUUUCGAGACGAGGGAAAAAAGGGUACUCCGUAUUCCUUCUGAUGAUGAAUCGUGGAGGGAAAAUUGUAUCGAUACUACUACUCAGCGACAACGUCAUCUCCCCUUCAAGCGAGCGGAACCAUUUGAUAUACACAGUAUAUACUAUAGAUAAGAAACUUUAUUACAAUUGCACUCAGUCAGCCGUGGUCAUACAUUUCUGACCAUCAGCAUGAUCUUCCCACCAUCCUAGAGCAGGAUUUGACACGACUGUUUUCUCCUCAAGCGGAGCAAACGUCCCAGCAGUGAGCAUGAAUCCUCGUACCAGGGUCAAACUAGUUCUAGUGCGGAAAAUGCUUACUUCCACCUGGAUUCAAAUUGUUGUAGCUAAGACCCCGGCUUCGCACCAUUCGGAGACAUAAAACGGUGCUGCCACUGCUGUCCUCCACCUGUCACGGCGAACGACGAACU